GGGAGGACGAGGACGAGGACGAGGACAAGGAAGACUAGGAUGAGGAUGAGGAGGACAAGGAACAAUAUUCUGCCGGUCACUGUUUAGUCUCCACUGCCAGCUGCCAUGGGCAAGCAGAACAGCCAGCUGUGUCCUGAGGUGCUGCAGGACCUGCAGAAACACAGGGAGUUCACCGACCAUGAGCUUCAGGAGUGGUACAAGGGCUUCCUCAAUGACUGUCCCACUGGCCACCUGACCGUGGACAAUUUCAAGAUCUAGCCCAACUUCUUCCCCUACAGAGAUGCCUCCAAGUUCGCUGAACAUGUCUUCCACACCUUUGACACCAACGGCGACAGCACCAUCAACUUCCAAGUGUUCAUCAUUGCUGUGAGCAUGACCUCUUGGGACAAGCUGGAACAGAAGCUGAAGUGGGCCUUCAGCAUGUCUGACCUAGACAGCAAUGGCUACAUCAGCUGCAGUGAAAUGCUGGAGAUAGUGCAGGUACCUGCACUUGACAGGGCCUUAAGCAUGGGGAGUGCAGGGAUCCAGGACCCCCAUCCCCGGCCCCAUACACCAGGUCAUUCCUCUGCCCACUUGCUACCUGGUGUACUAAAGGACUGCAUGUCUUUGCAGAGAGUAACGAUAAAAGCCAAGCAUCUAUCGAUUGCUUGCUGGACAUCAGGUCCCAGCUGAGCUCAUCCAUCAGGUUUAUUCACACAAUUCUAUAAAACGGGUCUUUUUUUAAAAGAAAAGAAAAGAA
rnacentral:lncRNA from 1 species